rnacentral:lncRNA from 1 species
GAGGACUAGUUGGUGGUGAUGACAAAAACCAAGGCUGGGCCCAUUGAAGUGGUAAAGAAAAGUAUAUGCUGGUCACCAUGUGACAUAUUGGCAUUAGAUCUUAAGGAAGAGAUGCCAAGUGAGAGUGGAAUGCAUAGACCUAUGAUCACAUCACAAAGGUAACCACCUCUUUCAAGGCUACUAAGGCCCCACUUGCAAACUAUGGAGGAAUGGUCUGAGUCCUUGCAGGCAACUAUGAACUAUGCAAUUCAUGAGUCAUUGGUCAUGGGCUAAUGCCACAGAUAUUGAUGAGUUACAAGAACUCAUGAAGGUUCUUUCAGC